GUGCUCCCUUUAGCAAAACAUACACUAAAAUUGGGACGAUACAGAGAUUAGCAUGACCCCUGUGCAAGGAUUACACACAAAUUUGUGAAGUGUUCAUGUUUUUA
rnacentral:snRNA from 1 species